UCUUGGUGGCCUCCUUUACUAGUGCCCUUCUCUCACGUGGUGGACUGAACUUGGAAGAUGUCUGUUUGUUUGUUUGUUUGUUUGUUUAAAUUGGCCUUACUGUCAAUUUUGGAUGAUUUAGUUGUUUCAUGUUUAUACUUAACUUAGAUAAAUUUUUUGUUGCUCGUGUCCCAAAAUCCUAAAUAUAUCAGAUGUGAUUCACAGCUCUAAAACAGUUAGGGUGAAUACUUUUUAUAGAUGUGUGGGGGAUGUCCGCAUUCACAUGUCCAGAAACAGCAAUAUGACUCAUUUGGUACUGUGUGUAUGAGAGGUUCUCUUCCAAAAAAGAUGAAGCCGUGGUCAUACUCUAAAUGUAUUUAAUUUGUUUGUCAUUUAAUAUAUGUGCAGCUUGAUGUGGCCAAUUUGUUCAGACUCGCCAUUAUUCAGCGGGGGUGUAUUUCAUUCUUUUGCUUGAAUUUUCAUCAGCCCUUAUGUUCACUGACAACAGGAACUAAAAACGAGCCUAACACGUGUCAGAUGAUAUUGAAAAUAUGAAGGCUGCUCCACAGCGGAGAGCUGGGGACGAGGAGCUCUGUGCCUAUUGGUCUCAUGGAAAUGUGGUGAGGAGAGCGGGGCUAUAAAAGCAGCCUGUGUGAGAGCGCAGCGGCUCGGAGAGAGAGGACUGUAGCAGGCGGCCGGAGCGCAGCACACAUACCUGGGAACCACACACAGACCCGCACAGCGCAGCCAUGAGUGAGGUACCUCCUGAGUUUAGCUGCAUUUCUACCAUCAAUAUUAAUUCAAUAACUUCUUCUAAACCAAAAACUUCGCCACCGGACAUGUUCUACAGAGGAAUUAGUACAGGAAUUACUCAUCUAAUAAAGUAACUUGCUUAUGUAGUUGAAUAACUGCUAAGUAACCAACUGUAAACUGUACUGGAUCCAUAUUUCAUAACAAGUCUGAUAUUUUAACUUGAAACAUUUGUCAGAAAAUUAUUACCAAAGUUAUCGUUCAAAUAUUUGUAAAAGCCUUUCAAACUACAUAUAAAAAUAUAUACUAAAUAUUGUAUCAUUUAUAUUAUAUAUUAUUAUAUCAUUUAUCUGUCAACAUCAUAAUAAAGUUUGACUGUGAAACAGAA
ensembl:lncRNA